rnacentral:rRNA from 1 species
UACGGGGGGGGCAAGCGUUGUUCGGAAUUACUGGGCGUAAAGGGCGUGUAGGCGGCCAACUAAGUCCGACGUGAAAUCCCCAGGCUUAACCUGGGAACUGCGUCGGAUACUGGAUGGCUUGAAUCCGGGAGAGGGAUGCAGAAUUCCAGGUGUAGCGGUGAAAUGCGCAGAUAUCAGGAGGAACACCGGUGGCGAAGGCGGGUCUCUGGGCCGGAACUGACGCUAAGGAGCGAAAGCGUGGGGAGCGAACAGG